GACGAACGCUGGCGGCGUGCCUAAUACAUGCAAGUCGAACGAGAGCAACCGGUGCUUGCACUGGUCAAUCUAGUGGCGAACGGGUGAGUAACACGUGGGUAACCUGCCCAUCAGAGGGGGAUAACAUCCGGAAACGGAUGCUAAAACCGCAUAGGUCUUCGAACCGCAUGGUUUGAAGAGGAAAAGAGGCGCAAGCUUCUGCUGAUGGAUGGACCCGCGGUGCAUUAGCUAGUUGGUGAGGUAACGGCUCACCAAGGCCGUGAUGCAUAGCCGACCUGAGAGGGUGAUCGGCCACAUUGGGACUGAGACACGGCCCAAACUCCUACGGGAGGCAGCAGUAGGGAAUCUUCCGUAAUGGACGCAAGUCUGACGGAGCAACGCCGCGUGAGUGAAGAAGGUUUUCGGAUCGUAAAACUCUGUUGUUAGAGAAGAACAAGUGCUAGAGUAACUGUUAGCGCCUUGACGGUAUCUAACCAGAAAGCCACGGCUAACUACGUG
rnacentral:rRNA from 1 species